rnacentral:rRNA from 1 species
AUUGAACGCUGGCGGCAUGCCUUACACAUGCAAGUCGAACGGUAACAGGUCUUCGGAUGCUGACGAGUGGCGAACGGGUGAGUAAUACAUCGGAACGUGCCUAGUAGUGGGGGAUAACUACUCGAAAGAGUGGCUAAUACCGCAUGAGAUCUACGGAUGAAAGCAGGGGAUCGCAAGACCUUGUGCUACUAGAGCGGCCGAUGGCAGAUUAGGUAGUUGGUGGGAUAAAAGCUUACCAAGCCGACGAUCUGUAGCUGGUCUGAGAGGACGAUCAGCCACACUGGGACUGAAACACGGCCCAGACUCCUACGGGAGGCAGCAGUGGGGAAUUUUGGACAAUAGGCGAAAGCCUGAUCCAGCAAUGCCGCGUGCAGGAUGAAGGCCUUCGGGUUGUAAACUGCUUUUGUACGGAACGAAAAGCCCUGGGUUAAUGCCCUGGGGUCAUGACGGUACCGUAAGAAUAAGCACCGGCUAACUACGUGCCAGCCGCCGCGGUAA